GAGCGAGAUGUUAGCGCAUGAACCUUCGGGGGAUUAUGCUAACGGAAAGCGGCGGACGGGUGAGUAACGCGUAGGCAACCUGCCCCUGACAGAGGGAUAGCCAUUGGAAACGAUGAUUAAAACCUCAUGACACCGUAGAAGCACAUGCUUCAUCGGUCAAAGAUUUAUCGGUCAGGGAUGGGCCUGCGUCUGAUUAACUAGUUGGUGAGGUAACGGCUCACCAAGGUGACGAUCAGUAGCCGACCUGAGAGGGUGAUCGGCCACAUUGGAACUGAGACACGGUCCAAACUUCUACGGAAGGCAGCAGUAGGGAAUCUUGCACAAUGGGCGAAAGCCUGAUGCAGCAACGCCGCGUGAAGGAUGAAGGCCUUCGGGUUGUAAACUUCUGUUCUAAGGGAAGAAACGAAUGACGGUACCUUAGGAGCAAGCCCCGGCUAACUACGUGCCAGCAGCCGCGGUAAUACGUAGGGGGCAAGCGUUAUCCGGAAUUAUUGGGCGUAAAGAGUGCGUAGGUGGUUACCUAAGCGCAAGGUUUAAUUUAGAGGCUCAACCUCUACUUGCCUUGCGAACUGGGCUACUUGAGUGCAGGAGGGGAAAGCGGAAUUCCUAGUGUAGCGGUGAAAUGCGUAGAUAUUAGGAGGAACACCAGCGGCGAAGGCGGCUUUCUGGACUGUAACUGACACUGAGGCACGAAAGCGUGGGU
rnacentral:rRNA from 1 species